UACGAAGGUCCCAAGCGUUAUCCGGAUUUAUUGGGUUUAAAGGGUGCGUAGGCGGGUUAUUAAGUCAGUGGUGAAAGCUCCCAGCUCAACUGGGAAACUGCCAUUGAUACUGAUAGUCUUGAGUAUGAUUGAAGUGGGCGGAGUGUGUCAUUGUAGCGGUGAAAUGCUUAGAUAUGACACAGAACACCGAUUGCGAAGGCAGCUCACUAAGCCAUAACUGACGCUGGAUGCACGAAAGCGUGGGGAGCAAACAGG
rnacentral:rRNA from 1 species